GUCUUGCACACAGAGUGUCCAAUAGAUAGAUAUUGAUUAAGUUGAUGGCCCAGGAGCCAAGGAGAGCUACCCAAAGGCUACACAUUUCCCUUUGAGUCCAUUAGAAAUCAAAUACGGGGCAAACUUAGAAAAAAGUGAACCCAUGUUCUCCCGCCCAGGUGAAGCAGAAUCAGAGAAGGCUUGAAGCUCAGCCUCCCCAAGCUACGAAUGCAUGAUUGCACCAGCGCAAGACAGGAAUCCCCAGUCCCGGCCGCAGGGGCCAGGGCAGCUUGGACUCUCCACAGCUCUUCAGCUUGGCGUUCUGGGCAUUUCAAGACAGGUCAUGGAAGGUCCAGUGGGAGCCAAGGAUGCUGUUCUUGCAGUAAAGGUCUCAGCUUCUGCUAUGCCAGUCAAUCGGGGUGAAGGAAGUGACUCUUCUUCAGGUGUUACUCCUGACAGCACUCCCCACUACACCACCUGCACACACAUCUGUCUUGGAUCUGCUUUCAAGAACCCGCAUCUGCUCCACCAUCCCACCUGCCGACACUAUUUUCAAGUGGGCUUAGAUGUGCAGAUACGAAGGAGAUGAAGUAAGAGCUGCUCCGGCCCUCGGAUGAUGCAGACUCCACGAGCUCGUGCUUCCCGUGGCUCCUAGGGGAGCCCAGACCACCCUGUGCACCAGCAGUGAGGGCUCAGUGCUGGGAGCUGCGCUCUGGAGCCUUUGCUCCUCUGCAGUGUCACGAGUCCCUGUGGCGGGUGGUGGCCGCCUCUUCCUGCAGCAAUUCUCUCCCACCUCCUUUCCUCCACCUCAGAGAGAUAGCGGGUGUCAAAUGGCCCAGAACCGAGGCCCCUGCACUGCUGCAGGCACAGAGGACGGGUAGGAUUGUGUGGGAGAGCCCUGGGGGUAAGCCUUUCGCCUACGUCCCUCCUGCCGCCAGCCAGUGCCGGGAGCUUAGUUUUCUUAUCUGUAAAAUUAGGUCUCAUUAGGUUGUGAAAAUUAGAGAUGAU
rnacentral:lncRNA from 1 species